rnacentral:rRNA from 1 species
AGUGAACGCUGGCGGUAGGCCUAACACAUGCAAGUCGAACGGCAGCACAGUAAGAGUUCGCCUUUAAGGUUGGCGGCUGACGGGCGGGUAAGACAUACAUAGCAUUCCACUUUUUCUGGGGGAACAACGUGGGAAAACUACCGAUAAUACAGCAUAUAACCAACGGCUUAAUGCAGUGGUCCUUGGGGCUUUGGCUGUUUCAUUGAGCUGGUGCCGGAUUAGCUAGUUGGCGGGGUAAGGGCCCACCAAGGCGACGAUCCGUAGCUGGUCUGAGAGGAUGAUCAGCCACACUGGAACUGAGACACGGUCCAGACUCCUACGGGAGGCAGCAGUGGGGAAUAUUGGACAAUGGGCGCAAGCCUGAUCCAGCCAUACCGCGUGGGUGAAGAAGGCCUUCGGGUUGUAAAGCCCUUUUGUUGGGAAAGAAAAGCAGCAGGUUAAUACCCCGCUGUUCUGACGGUACCCAAAGAAUAAGCACCGGCUAACUUCGUG